UUGUGGCGAAGUGGGUGAUCCUAUGCUGCCGAGAAAAGCCUCUAGUGAGUGUCGUGGCGGCCCGUACCCCAAACCGACUCAGGUGGUCAGGUAGAGAAUACCAAGGCGAUCGGGUGAACUGUGGUUAAGGAACUCGGCAAAUUGCCCCCGUAACUUCGGGAGAAGGGGGGCCUCCGCUGGUGAUCAGACUUGCUUUGUGAGCUGGUGGGGGUCGCAGAGGCCAGGGGGAAGCGACUGUUUACUAAAAACACAGGUCCGUGCGAAGUCGUAAGACGAUGUAUACGGACUGACGCCUGCCCGGUGCUGGAACGUUAAGGGGACCGGUUAGCGCAUCUUCGGGUGUGCGAGGCUGAGAACUUAAGCGCCAGUAAACGGCGGUGGUAACUAUAACCAUCCUAAGGUAGCGAAAUUCCUUGUCGGGUAAGUUCCGACCUGCACGAAUGGCGUAACGACUUCCCCGCUGUCUCAACCGCAGACCCGGCGAAAUUGCACUACGAGUAAAGAUGCUCGUUACGCGCAGCAGGACGGAAAGACCCCGGGACCUUCACUACAGCUUGACAUUGGCGUUUGGAACGUCUUGUGUAGGAUAGGUGGGAGACUGUGAAGCUGUCACGCUAGUGGCGGUGGAGUCAUUGGUGAAAUACCACUCUGGUCGUUUUGAACGUCUAACUUCGGUCCGUGAUCCGGAUCAGGGACAGUGUCUGGUGGGUAGUUUAACUGGGGCGGUUGCCUCCUAAAGAGUAACGGAGGCGCCCAAAGGUUCCCUCAGCCUGGUUGGUAAUCAGGUGUCGAGUGUAAGUGCACAAGGGAGCUUGACUGUGAGACCGACGGGUCGAGCAGGAGCGAAAGCUGGGACUAGUGAUCCGGCGGUGGCAUGUGGAAGCGCCGUCGCUCAACGGCUAAAAGGUACCCCGGGGAUAACAGGCUGAUCUUCCCCAAGAGUCCAUAUCGACGGGAUGGUUUGGCACCUCGAUGUCGGCUCGUCGCAUCCUGGGGCUGGAGUAGGUCCCAAGGGUUGGGCUGUUCGCCCAUUAAAGCGGUACGCGAGCUGGGUUUAGAACGUCGCGAGACAGUUCGGUCCCUAUCCGCUGCGCGCGCAGGAGACUUGAAAGGAGCUGUCCCUAGUACGAGAGGACCGGGACGGACGAACCUCUGGUGUGCCAGUUGUUCCGCCAGGAGCAUGGCUGGUUGGCUACGUUCGGAAGGGAUAACCGCUGAAAGCAUCUAAGCGGGAAGCUCGCCUUGAGAUGAGGUCUCCCACCACGUGAGUGGGUAAGGCCCCCGGGAGACGACCGGGUUGAUAGGCCGGAGGUGGAAGCACGGUAACGUGUGGAGCUGACCGGUACUAAUAGGCCGAGGACUUGACCA
rnacentral:rRNA from 1 species